rnacentral:rRNA from 1 species
GUAGCCGAGGGAGAUUACUUUCUCUGCUGACGAGUGGGGACGGGUGAGUAAAGCUUGGGAAUCUGGCGAAUGGAGGGGGAUAGCCACGGGAAACUGUGGGUAAUACCGCGUAAUGUCUAAGGACYAAAGGGGUGGGACUGAGAGGCCMCCUGCCAUUUGAUGAGCCCAAGUGGGAUUAGGUAGUUGGUGAGGUAAGGGCUCACCAAGCUGACGAUCUCUAGCUGGUCUGAGAGGAUGGCCAGCCACACUGGAACUGAGACACGGUCCAGACUCCUACGGGAGGCAGCAGUGGGGAAUAUUGCGCAAUGGGGGGAACCCUGACGCAGCCAUGCCGCGUGAAUGAAGAAGGCCUUCGGGUUGUAAAGUUCUUUCGGUGAUGAGGAAGGCGAUUAGUUUAAGAGAUUAAUUGAUUGACGAUAAUCACAGAAGAAGCACCGGCUAACUCCGUGCCAGCAGCCGCGGUAAUACGGAGGGUGCGAGCGUUAAUCGGAAUGACUGGGCGUAAAGGGCACGCAGGUGGUGACUUAAGUGAGGUGUGAAAUCCCCGGGCUUAACCUGGGAACAGCAUUUCAGACUGGGUGACUAGAGUACUUUAGGGAGGGGUAGAAUUCCACGUGUAGCGGUGAAAUGCGUAGAGAUGUGGAGGAAUACCGAAGGCGAAGGCAGCCCCUUGGGAAGAUACUGACGCUCGAGUGCGAAAGCGUGGGGAGCAAACAGGAUUAGAUACCCUGGUAGUCCACGCUGUAAACGAUGUCGAUUUGGGGAUUGG